rnacentral:rRNA from 1 species
AGCGGGUCGAGUUAAAUUAUGGUUGGUAAAAAAGGAAGUUAGGAGAAUUUUUAUUUUAUUGUCAGAGGAAUAAACUUUUUUGUAGAGGUGGAAUUUAAGCAAAAAUGGGUUGGUUAUUAGUUCUCUGAGUUUUGAUACUUCGAAAGUUGGCAAAGAGACCGGGAUUAGAUACCCCGUUAUUUUUACAGUAAAAUUUGGUUAUCCUACCAGGGUACUACGGAUUGAGUUGGUUGGUGCAGAAGCGGUUAGGGCUGCUGGCUAACAGCUCUUUUGUUUAAAACUCAAAAAACUUGGCGGUGCCUUAAUUCUUGCCAGGGGAACCUGUCCUAUAAUCGAUAAUCCACGAUUUAACUUACUUUUUUUUGAAUAUGUUUUUAGGAUCAUAUCAGCUUGUAUACCGUCGUCGUCAGACUACCUUUGAGAGGGGAAAAGUUGUCGGGAUAAUGAUAUUUCUGUUUUGCUUAUUUUUGGAGUGAAAAGAAGUAAGUUUCGAUGUCAGAUCAAGGUGCAGUUUAUAAAAAAGGAGAGAUGGGUUACAGUAUGGAUUUAGUUUGGAUCCUAAGAUGUAACUUUUAGGUGAAAUUGGACUUGGAAGUAACAUAGAAGCUUGAGAAUUAGUUGAGGAGUUUAGUUUUUGACUUAUCAGGCUGUAAAUAGGUAGUCUGUGUGAAUGCAGCUCUGAGGUGCGU